rnacentral:rRNA from 1 species
GGCAACCCUGACGGAGCAACGCCGCGUGUGGGAGGACGGCCUUCGGGUUGUAAACCACUUUUCUCAGGGAAGAAGAACUGACGGUACCUGAGGAAUAAGCCUCGGCUAACUCCGUGCCAGCAGCCGCGGUAAGACGGAGGAGGCAAGCGUUAUCCGGAAUUAUUGGGCGUAAAGCGUCCGCAGGUGGCGAUUCAAGUCUGCUGUCAAAGCACGGGGCUUAACUCCGUUAAGGCAGUGGGAACUGGAUGGCUAGAGUGCCGUAGGGGUAGAGGGAAUUCCCGGUGUAGCGGUGAAAUGCGUAGAGAUCGGGAAGAACACCGGUGGCGAAAGCGCUCUACUGGACCACACCUGACACUCAGAGGACGAAAGCUAGGGGAGCG